ensembl:lincRNA
AGGCUCUUGAGAUGGGCCUGGAGGUCUGAUCUGAAACCAGGCCCCUGCUCUCAUGUAUCUCAAUGUGGCUUUGAAACAGCAGCUCUAUGCAACUCAUUUUCAUCUAGCAUUACCUCUCCAAAACCUGAAUCUCCACAAGAAAGCCGUACAGCAAUUAACCAGUGUUGCAAGAACUGCUUCUGUAAUAAAGGAUCUGUGAUCUUCUCAUUUUGCCUGGUAGUUGUGUUGUUUCCUCUGGGUACUGAUCACACUUGUACAAAUGGACAGAUGUUGAAAAUACAUCCACUGGUGGGUAAACCUGAAAUAAACACUAAUUUUUCAUUUUUAUAAAGGUUUCUUUUUGAUGUAU